GUCCACGCCGUAAACGAUGGAUACUAGCUGUUCGGGGCAACCUGAGUGGCUAAGCGAAAGUGAUAAGUAUCCCACCUGGGGAGUACGUUCGCAAGAAUGAAACUCAAAGGAAUUGACGGGGCCCGCACAAGCGGUGGAGCAUGUGGUUUAAUUCGAUGAUACGCGAGGAACCUUACCAAGGCUUAAAUGUAGAUUGACCGGUUUGGAAACAGAUCUUUCGCAAGACAAUUUACAAGGUGCUGCAUGGUUGUCGU
rnacentral:rRNA from 1 species